rnacentral:sRNA from 19 species
UAUUGGUAGCAUUCAAAUCAAUAUAGCAAGUUAAAAUAAGGCUUUGUCCGUCAUCAGCUUUUUUAAAGCAGCGCUGUUCUCGGCGCUUUUUUU